GUUUCUCAUUUUUACAAAAUUUAGUAAAUUUAAACUUUAGAUUAAUUUAACACUUCUCGUAAAAUCCAAACUGCUGAAUCAGCGGAAUACAGCGAAAUACUAUUCAUGAAAAAAAGUACAAGAACUUCGUCCCUUACUGAAGAGCCGGGGCCCUUUGCGUAUUCACGUCAAAUCAUCCGGGGACGCUAAAUUAGAGAUUUUUUACUCUGCAUAAGUAGCCCAGUAGCUCAAGUCCGAUCACAUCAUCACCGACCAAUCUCUCUUCAUAAACAAUUAAUUCUUACCUUUGUACUAAAAAUUCGUUAACUUACUUGAUAGGGCAUAGUUAUACGUGCUUCUGUUAUCUAUUAAUACUUUAAACUCUUCUUGCAUUUAACAGAAAAACAAACAUAUAAAUAAAUAACAAAAUUUAACUGAAAAUUUUCCUUGGAUUUUUACAAUGCACUCCUGAAACUCAAUAUAUU